GACGUAGGGCGCGAGCGUUGUCCGGAUUUACUGGGUUUAAAGGGUGCGCAGGCGGAUAUGUAAGUCAGUGGUGAAAUCUCCAGGCUUAACCUGGAAAUUGCCGUUGAUACUAUAUAUCUUGAAUGCUGUGGGAGGUAAGCGGAAUAUGUCAUGUAGCGGUGAAAUGCUUAGAGAUGGCAUAGAACACCUAUUGCGAAGGCAGCUUACUACGCAGAUAUUGACGCUCAUGCACGAAAGCGUGGGGAUCAAACAGG
rnacentral:rRNA from 1 species